AUAAGUACGAGAAUUUAAUCAAGGACAUCGGAAUUAAGUUCGAGAAAUAAGAAUUUAGACCGAAGCGGGUCUAUUAAAAUUAUCGUAAAAUAAUAAAUUAAGUGGAAUUUAUUAUUUGAUAAAUUGGAAUUUAGCGGGACUAAGAAAAGUAAAUAAAUUAAAAUAAAAUAAAUGGUAAGUCCCGAGUUAAUUUUACGAUAAAGUUCGUAAAAUAAAUUAUUUGGACCUAGAUAAAUAAAUAAUGUGAUGGAGCCAUUAUUUAUCAAUAAAGAAUAAUCGUCAAGGUUCUUUUUAAUUACGACAACAUUUUAGACUUUAAUUGAAAAAUUUAAAAGUUGAAGGAUUUAGUGGGAAGAGGUGCCAAAUCUAAGUAUUUAUAUAGAUUUUUUCCCCAUAAAACCAAUAGGAAAAAGGCACCUAAACCUCCACCUCUUCAAGAAUACUCUAGCUCAAAUAAGAUUAGAAUUGGAAAAUAGAAACAAAACCCAUCUUCUUCUCCUCCACCGAAAACCCCAUCACCAUCUUCAUCAACUUGGAGCUCUCACCACGGUGGCAUCAAUAUCUUCACAAUCCGGCCACCAAAUCCAGCGAUUCAAGCUCGGUUGGAGAGCUAACACACACACGAAUAAGACUCGACGAGGCGACUAUUAAGGGGGCGCAAAACGUAAAGAACGCAACAGGGCUUUGCUAUGGCCGAAGUCUUUGGAUAGCAAUUAUGUUAUGUUUCAGGUGUAUAGUAUCAGAUGUAACGGACUUCUAUCCUUGUUCCAGAAGUCCGCGAAUACAGAAAGAAGGAAUAAAUCAGUAGUGCUGCAGUAGUCGAGUCCUAGAGUGUAAUUAUGUUUUGUCAAACGGUUUUAUAUAUGUUGUUUAUACUCUGACAUGUAUAAAGGUUUUAAACUGCGCUUUUAAACCGUUUAUAUAUAUAUAUAUAUGUGAGAAACAGGGCAUUGCUUGAUAUGAGAUAUCGCUUUGUAAGACCCUGAUUUCUAAAGAUCGUUUUGUAUCGUUUAAAGAAGUUUUAUAAAAACGUUUUGAGAAUGUUUCGCGAAAAAUUUAUAGUGAAAUUUUAGGCUUGCUACGGGUUUCGGAGCUACCACUCCCAUUCCCUAGCGCCGGUCGCGGCCCUAAUUUUUGGGUCGUGACAAAGGUGGUAUCAGAGCAAUGGUUAGAUUCAUAGGCCAUUGCUUAUAGGUGAUCAUUUGUACCUAGGUUUGACAUUGUCACUAGGUUAAGUUAGGAACUACUGCAGCUAUAGGACUCGAGUCAUGUCAUUGAUAGGUCCUCGUUUGUUUUCUAAACUUCCAACUCUCCUCGAUAGGAUACGAGUCCAUAUGAUCGAUUGCUUUAUGAAACGUUGUUUGUUCUAUAUGGGAUAUGUGUAUGCGAUAAGGAUGCAUGUUUCAUUUAUGAUAGAGUACGCAUACGCAAUGUGCAUACGGAGAAGGACAUGUGACAAAUUGACUCUCACAAGUGUGUAUGGGCAAGAGGAGGCCCAGCCACAUGUAUUGGUCCUCGUAUGCCUUGUCCUAUCACAUUUCUUUUAGUUGCUAUGGUUUGGCCAAUAAGACAAGCCAUUAUGGCAUAGAUGUAUCGUAUCAGAUAUAGAUCGUUAUUAAAUAGACGAUGCACUAGAAAGAAUGAGAACCUAGGUGCAUAACCUAAGAUAUUCCUUUAGGAAGGAAACAAAACGUAGAGAACAUACAUUGAACACACAUCAUACAUACAUUGAAAGAGUUCGACAUUCUCUACAAAAUGUCAAAUAUGCCUGAAUAACCUUAGCUAUGCCCUGAACAUAGCUUGAUAGUAUGUGAUAGAAAGAUAGAGAACGAGAAUAAAAUACACCAAUAAGAUAGAUAAAAAGCCAUAUAAAGAAAAGUUAAAAUGUCACAGAAGUUCCGAUCUGAGUUGACUUAUGGUGUUUACAAAAGAAAUAAAGUUUUGAGAUUUCCUUUAAAAGUAUAAUUGUGCACAGACCCAACAUGUAGUAUGCCAUAGGAAGCAUGAAAGACAUGAUUGAAAACACAUUGCAGUAUCAGCAUAUAUGUAUAAAUAUUUUGAUAUAAAACCAUAAUUUUACUCUCCAUCAUGCAUUCGCUGAUACGAGCAAUUCAAAGAAUUUUAAAUAGCAACUCUUUAGUGAUGAGAGGUGUCAUCACUCUGAUGCACAAUUAUACUAAAAGUUUUGAAACUAUAUGAUUGAAAUGGUGUUCGAUUUGAAAAGAAAUUGUUUUGAAAGUCCCGCGGGCAAAGUCAAAUUGAUUUGAAACGUAAGAAAACCGGAUGGAAUUUCCUGUGACACCAAUAUAUAAACUUUAACAAAGAGCAAUAACAAAUAUAAAAGAUUGUAUUGAGAUAGUUUAAUAGUGAACACAGUUCACACCUCAUAGAUAGGACCUAUGAAGGCAGUAAUCGUAUGAGAAAAGUAAGUCACCUCGAGAGUAAGAGGUGCAAUGACGAUCGAGAGUAACGACAUCUAGGUGUAUGAUCGAAAACAUCGAUACCAAGAGAUAUGAUUGAUAUAGAUAAUGGACACGAUGAUGUGAAGUGGUGAUGUGCGAAUACAUACGCACUAAGGGGAACAAGGAUAUAGAUCGAUGACGCUUAAAGAAGCGAACAAGUAAAUGAUCGAUAAUACUAAUAAGCUAUAUAGACAUCAAGGGAUGUAAUGAAAUAGGAAGGAAAGACUCAACAAAGGGGUUGAGCUAUAACACGAUGGUGUUAUCGGAUAAACUAAAACAAGAGACAGUAAAGAAGGACACCUAUAAGAGGUAUUUAUAUAUAAGGAAGUAUAACAAAAUUAAAAAUGGACAAAAGAAUACGAAGAGAUCGAUUAACAUGACCGACACAGAUAUGGCUUAAACAACCUACGUAUAUGGUGUGACACUCCAUAAAGGUAAUCGAGGAAAAGAAUUAAAGACGUUACAUGGAAAGUAACAAGAAAAUAAGGAACAAUUGAACUCUAUAUAGGGUCAAGAAGUAUAAAAUUGAUCUAGGGAUAAGAUCAAUUUCACUGAUAGACGAAAUAUCAGUAAGAAUAUGACAUAUGGAUCUGCAAACGACCAAGAGUGUAACACAUUAACAAGUAUAAAGGAGUAACUUUUGACCUUCUAGUUAUAGGAGCGGUGAAAAAUGUUGAAGCAAGAAGUAUAAGAUGAUCGGGAGGUAAGUUAAGACAAAGUUAAGAACUUCACUGGACAAUGCUAAAGGAGAUAUCAGUCCUAUAUUCACUAAGAUUAAAAGAUCCAAAGGUAAUAUGUACAACGGAAUAAGAUGAAUAAAAAGGAUCGGGAAGCAGUGUGUACAUGAAAACGAGAAGUAUAAAGUGGUCAAGAAACUUAGUAAAGAAAAGAUAAGGACCUCAUUGGAUACUGGUAAAGGAUACUACAAAUUUAAUAUAGAUAGUUGAGGUUAAAGGAUUGAGAGCUAAGAUAUAUCGUGAAUAAGGACGCGAUACAUGUAAGGUACUGCUAAGUAGGUAUUCAACUUCAUGAAUCCAGAAAGCCAUGAAGUAGUUGACUGAUAGUAAAGGAAAGGGCAUUCCUAACUACCAUAAGGCAUGGAUAAGGGUAUUGGACGAAAGGCCUUAUAAGUCUAACUAUAAAGACAAUGGUUAGUAAAUGGAUAAUCAGAGUGUCACAGCGAAAGCAAAAGUAGAAAGAGAUAAUCAUGUACGUGAUCGAAUACGAGAAAGACAAGAAACUUCAAGAACCAUGACGUCGAACUUCGAUAAACUCGAAAGUCAAUAAAAUCGUAAAAAUGGAAUAGAGAUUCAUCGAGAAAUAGUACAACCUAACGAAUAAGAGUUAAGACUAAGGUUAAGGUUUCAUAAAACAAUCGAAAGAGGAUCGAUUAAACUACAAUGGAAAAAAAAAAAUAUAGUUCAUGAUGAAUAAUAGAAAGAAGCAAAGGACUAAAGGACAUAAGAUAAAGAAACACCCUAGCUCAGGGCAAGGAAUAUGUGUUAAGUAAUAACACAUUACAAAAUAAGAAAUCUACGGAAGAAUGUGAUUUGAGAUAAGGUAAAGGAUUAACCUUAUACUCAACAACAAAAGGAAAGCAUAAGUGAACACUUAAGGAGAUUAAGAAAAUAUCGAAAGAAGUUCGACUUCAAACGAAAAAUAUAGACAGAAUGAUAAGGUAUAAGAAAACUAAAUGUAUUUCAAGAAAGGAUUGAUUGGUUGCUUAGUUCAUAGGCUCAAACUACAGCCUAUACAAGUAAUUAACUAUAGCCCUAGGAAGUGACUUCCGGGCCAAUUUUUGAAGUUUUCGGGUUUUAAUUUCAACCCGAAGUACAAAAGGAAAUGGUAAAAGAUAUUGUGAACUACACGAAUACCAGUUUGGUUUAGUAAACAAACACUUAUGAAUAAGCGAUUAGGACAACCAAAGUAAGAUAGAAGAGUAAAUUUUGGAUAAGUUUAAAUGACUUAAAAAGAGUAAGUCAAAGUUGAUAUCAUAAAGUGGGGAACAAAGAAAGUUCAAGGUUGAUAUCCAGAAUAACACUACCCUUAUGGUAUUAAGGAGCGAACAAUAGACAAAGGUUGGCGAAUACCAACGUUAAGAAGUGAAAAGAUGUGAAUCUAUCAAGGCAAGAAGUUGGUAGACGAUUAGAUUAACAUCUCAAUGGGAAUUGUAUAAAGAGCAGCUACGCGCGAACGAAGGAAAUUUGUGAAGAGAGAUUAGUCAUCUCUUUUAUAACAGACAUUAAGCAUCACCAUACGAUUAAGUAUGAUACAGAAGAACGUAAAGACAAGACCAACUAUCUUUAAGGAUGUUAGCAAUUAUUGUAAGAUAAAUCAAACACUUGAUAAUAAAGACGGGUAACUAGAAAACCGUCAAGAAAUGACGAUGUAAGAAACUUUAAGGAACACAAUGGAUUACAAAGGCGAAGUUAUUAUAACUUUAUGAUCUGGGUAACGAUAGUAUAAAAAGUAAGACUUUAAGUCUUUAUAAGAAGCAAUAAGAAUUGCUAAGAAGUGUAAUACUUGAUGGAUAAGAGUAUUACUAUAAUUAUGAAAAUUCGAGGACGAAUUUUUAUAAGGGGGGAAGAAUGUAAUACCCCGUACUUUUAAAGUACCAAGUAAUGUGCCACGAAGCAUAAGUACGAGAAUUUAAUCAAGGACAUCGGAAUUAAGUUCGAGAAAUAAGAAUUUAGACCGAAGCGGGUCUAUUAAAAUUAUCGUAAAAUAAUAAAUUAAGUGGAAUUUAUUAUUUGAUAAAUUGGAAUUUAGCGGGACUAAGAAAAGUAAAUAAAUUAAAAUAAAAUAAAUGGUAAGUCCCGAGUUAAUUUUACGAUAAAGUUCGUAAAAUAAAUUAUUUGGACCUAGAUAAAUAAAUAAUGUGAUGGAGCCAUUAUUUAUCAAUAAAGAAUAAUCGUCAAGGUUCUUUUUAAUUACGACAACAUUUUAGACUUUAAUUGAAAAAUUUAAAAGUUGAAGGAUUUAGUGGGAAGAGGUGCCAAAUCUAAGUAUUUAUAUAGAUUUUUUCCCCAUAAAACCAAUAGGAAAAAGGCACCUAAACCUCCACCUCUUCAAGAAUACUCUAGCUCAAAUAAGAUUAGAAUUGGAAAAUAGAAACAAAACCCAUCUUCUUCUCCUCCACCGAAAACCCCAUCACCAUCUUCAUCAACUUGGAGCUCUCACCACGGUGGCAUCAAUAUCUUCACAAUCCGGCCACCAAAUCCAGCGAUUCAAGCUCGGUUGGAGAGCUAACACACACACGAAUAAGACUCGACGAGGCGACUAUUAAGGGGGCGCAAAACGUAAAGAACGCAACAGGGCUUUGCUAUGGCCGAAGUCUUUGGAUAGCAAUUAUGUUAUGUUUCAGGUGUAUAGUAUCAGAUGUAACGGACUUCUAUCCUUGUUCCAGAAGUCCGCGAAUACAGAAAGAAGGAAUAAAUCAGUAGUGCUGCAGUAGUCGAGUCCUAGAGUGUAAUUAUGUUUUGUCAAACGGUUUUAUAUAUGUUGUUUAUACUCUGACAUGUAUAAAGGUUUUAAACUGCGCUUUUAAACCGUUUAUAUAUAUAUAUAUGUGAGAAACAGGGCAUUGCUUGAUAUGAGAUAUCGCUUUGUAAGACCCUGAUUUCUAAAGAUCGUUUUGUAUCGUUUAAAGAAGUUUUAUAAAAACGUUUUGAGAA